rnacentral:rRNA from 1 species
UGGGGAAUUUUGGACAAUUGGGCGAAAGCCUGAUCCAGCAAUGCCGCGUGUGUGAAGAAGGCCUUCGGGUUGUAAAGCACUUUUGUCCGGAAAGAAAUCCUUGGCUCUAAUACAGUCGGGGGAUGACGGUACCGGAAGAAUAAGCACCGGCUAACUACGUGCCAGCAGCCGCGGUAAUACGUAGGGUGCAAGCGUUAAUCGGAAUUACUGGGCGUAAAGCGUGCGCAGGCGGUUUGCUAAGACCGAUGUGAAAUCCCCGGGCUCAACCUGGGAACUGCAUUGGUGACUGGCAGGCUAGAGUAUGGCAGAGGGGGGUAGAAUUCCACGUGUAGCAGUGAAAUGCGUAGAGAUGUGGAGGAAUACCGAUGGCGAAGGCAGCCCCCUGGGCCAAUACUGACGCUCAUGCACGAAAGCGUGGGGAGCAAACAGGAUUNGAUACCCUGGUAGUCCACGCCCUAAACGAUGUCAACUAGUUGUUGGGGAUUCAUUUCCUUAGUAACGUAGCUAACGCGUGAAGUUGACCGCCUGGGGAGUACGUCGCAAGAUUAAAACUCAAAGGAAUUG